rnacentral:rRNA from 1 species
UACGUAGGGUGCGAGCGUUGUCCGGAAUUAUUGGGCGUAAAGAGCUCGUAGGCGGCUUGUCGCGUCGGAUGUGAAAGCCCGGGGCUUAACUCCGGGUCUGCAUUCGAUACGGGCAGGCUAGAGUUCGGUAGGGGAGAUCGGAAUUCCUGGUGUAGCGGUGAAAUGCGCAGAUAUCAGGAGGAACACCGGUGGCGCAGGCGGUCUCCUGGGGUCUGCUUGACGCUGAGGCGCGAAAGCUGGGGGAGCGAACGGGG